ACCAACCCUAUUGUUAGUUGCCAUUAUUCAGUUGGGCACUCUAGCGAGACUGCCGGUAAUAAACCGGAGGAAGUGGGGAUGACGUCAAAUCAUCAUGCCCCUUAUGACCUGGGCUACACACGUGCUACAAUGGUUGGUACAACGAGUUGCGAGUCGGUGACGGCGAGCUAAUCUCUUAAAGCCAAUCUCAGUUCGGAUUGUAGGCUGCAACUCGCCUACAUGAAGUCGGAAUCGCUAGUAAUCGCGGAUCAGCACGCCGCGGUGAAUACGUUCCCGGGCCUU
rnacentral:rRNA from 1 species